CUGGCCCUCCCCUCUUUGUCCUAUCCUAGAUGGACACAUCUGUCACUUUUAAGUCCCUAUUGCUCAUCUGUCACGGUCCACAACCAAGAAGAGACAAGGGAAGGGGCCAGAUGAAUGUUCUGCCACCAAGAGGAAGACUUUGACAUUUAAAAAAUUCUCCAUCUCUCUCCAAGUGUCCCAUCCCCAACUCAGAAAUAAUAAUAAUGGUAAUAAUAAUAACUUUAUUAUUGUCAUUGAGAGCUCAUUGCGUGACAGGCGCUACGCUAAGCACUUUACAUACGUUAUGUAUCAAAUCCUCAGAAAAAUCCAUGAAGAGGACAUUAAUAUGUUGCAGAUGAAGACACUGAGGCUUGGAGAACUUAAAUUGCCCAAAGAGCUUCUCACACCUGACUCUCAAGACCCUUGAAAGCCUGGUCUCCAUCUGCUUCUGCAAUCUCAUCUCCCAGUGGUGCCCUCCUAGAAUCCUCCAUGGCAGUUGCCAUGGACUCCCAGGUUGAAGGUCACAUAACCUUAGCAUGCCCAGAUAAACCAAGUAUGCAACCACACGGGGAACCUAAGUGCUCAGACCAAGGAGCAGGAACUGAAUUAAGACACGGACACCACAUGGCAGAAUCCAAGAUCCAAUCAGAUCGAGCUCUGGAAUCACCCCAUGGUGGAAGCCAGUCAGAUCAUUCCUCUUGGCAUCACCUCAUUGCAAGAUCCAAUCAGAUCACGUCUCAUUACCCUAUCCUUAUAAAACCGGACAGACCUCAGCUCAGGAAGGCACUGCUUUGGGAGCUAUCACCCCUAUUUUCCUUAAUUACUUCAAGUAAUAAAAUCCCCUUGCUAAAUCUUCUUUGAUUGUGGUCAUUGGGCCAUCACCCAACAAGUGCUAGAGCCCACCCAUUGUGUGGAUAACACUAUUUCUUCUUCCUUGUCCCCUCCUCAUCCUCUCCGUUUGGUAUUUCCUUUCCUUCUUCUUUCUCCUUUCAGUUACCCUCUGCCUUGCUAAGCAAGGCAGGCAGCUGCCAACG
rnacentral:lncRNA from 1 species